rnacentral:misc_RNA from 1 species
UCCGAGUUGUCCCCGGCAGUCCUCUUAGAGUCCCCGGCAUUACCCGCUGGCAACUAAGAGCAGGGGUUGCGCUCGUUGCGGCACUUAAGCCAACACCUCACGGCACGAGCUGACGACAGCCAUGCAGCACCUGUGCUAGCCCCCGAAGGACACGGGCUUUCACCCGCUUUAACUAGCAUGUCAAGCCCAGGUAAGGUUCUUCGCGUUGAACGGUUGGUU